AAGUACGGCGUAACUUCUAUAAGCUCCCAAACAAACCCCCAACCACGACCACGACCUAUCUAUCCCGGCCACAUUCCCGGAAAUUUUUUUUUAAUUCUAUUUUAUAAGCGAGCGUAAAAACUCCCGAAUCAUCCUUCGAACUAUCAUGAUGUUAGAGCUGAGUUGCUGUUGGUAGGAACAUGCACCACGAUGGACAGCGUAUGCAUAGCCGCUGACUUAGCGUCUGAUGAUAAUGUACGGAGUAUUAAAAAAAAAAAAAAAAAAAAAAAAAAAAAAAAGCCCCGAUAACGAACAAAUGCAUCCAUUAUUAAUCCCCUGGGUGUCAGUAGUCAGUUACUGAUAGACUGGUAGACUGAUAGACUGACGGUCAGUCAGACCAAAAUCGCUCAUGGUCUCCUUAGCCCAAAACAAGGCAGCUGGAUAUAGGCAUAUCUCUCUGCACGGAGCUUAUUACAUACUAUGUAGUAUAACUAACUGAUAUCUAAUCAAUAUCUAAUCAAUAAUCCCUUCUUCCGUCAUGCUACUUGCGCAUGCCGCGCGACAAACCUAGGAAAACAAUGAAAAGAAUAUAUUUAAAUUAGAUCAAAAAAAUGCUUGAAAAAGAAAGGUUUUUAUUAUAGAUGCGUGUAAAUUUGUAACCCAUGAAAUCCAAAAUAAAAUGAAAUCAAAUGUAAAGAAUAAGAAGGAAAACAAGAGGGCUAAGCGGCACGUAAAAAGUA
rnacentral:sRNA from 1 species